rnacentral:rRNA from 1 species
GACGAACGCUGGCGGCGUGCUUAACACAUGCAAGUCGAGCGGUAAGGCCCUUUCGGGGGUACGACGAGCGGCGAACGGGUGAGUAACACGUGGGUGACCUGCCCUCAGCUCUGGGAGUAAGCCUGGGAAACCGGGUCUAAUACUGGAUAUGACUCCAUGACGCAUGUUGUGGGGUGGAAAGCCUUGUGCGGCUGAGGAUGGGCCCGCGGCCUAUCAGCUUGUUGGUGGGGUGAGGCCUACCAAGGCGACGACGGGUAGCCGGCCUGAGAGGGCGACCGGCCACACUGGGACUGAGACACGGCCCAGACUCCUACGGGAGGCAGCAGUGGGGAAUCUUGCGCAAUGGGCGAAAGCCUGACGCAGCGACGCCGCGUGAGGGAUGACGGCCUG